GUUUAGCUUUGCCAGUGCUCCCCAUGGCUUUUCACAGCUCAUCUUGAAUAUAUUUCUUGCUCUUCUGACAAGUUGCUAGCUUGGCAGGUUUGGAACAUAAAGCUUUAUGAAUGGUUACCAUUGCUGCAACUGAUUACCCUAAGAAUCACGUGAUAGACAAUAAAUGGAACCACAAGUGUGAAGAAAUUUUUCUACUUUUUUUUUUUUUUUUUGAUCCCUCUGGUAACUCACCUUGGUUCUUGAGUGUAUGCCAUUUGUCAGUAUGCCACAUAAUCAGCUAUUUUGGGCUUGCACUGGACCUGCCAUGACCAGGAACCUGCCCUGCCUGCUAAUUUUAAUGUGUAGGAGGAGUGGGUUGCAGGCCAGCAAAAGCUAUGUUUCCAGCUGCACAUUAGGUCAACAGGCUUGAUAGAGCAGUUGUCAACCCGCAAGAGCUCAGCCUGCACCUUCCACUUUGCCCGUCCUUAAUCCAGAGUUUGAGAGCACUGUUUCAAAACAGCAUGGCCAAGAUUUCAUCACGGGAAAAUCCAGUGUCUGGUCGCAACAUGAUCAACUAGCCUGAAAAGUUAUGAAGAAAGAUGUAUCUAGCCGAUUGCUCUCUUCUGUACUGGACCUGAAAUCAUGGUGUACCUUUUUGGUUACUAUCACUCUUCACAAAAGAGAAAUAAUGCCAUACAUGCUUUUACCAUCUAGUAAAAAACAACCCCCGGUCCCAAACAGCCUGUCUCUGUGAUAAGACUGAAUGAAAUCUAGACUUCAGGGGGGAGCAUUAAGAGUAAAGAGGUUUACUAAAUAUUUUGGCUUCAACUGAUUUGCAGGGCCACCCGUAAGUCACAGAAUAAUUACAUAACUGCUAUGAUUUAUUUAGAGUAAAAAAGAGAUGAGAAUGCCUUUAUCAAAAUUCAAAAUAAGUCAGUGUUUGUUUCUGAACCCUGACUAACAGUGACCAGGAUGACAAAAAUCAAGUGCCGUAAUUGUCUCUUCCUGUUUGAAAGCUAAACCUUAUUGUCUGCUAGACCAUUGUGGUGUGUCUUAAAAGUCAAUGUUUCUAGCCUCUUUCAGGCCAAAGCUGGAGUAAAUUUCUAAUCUGAUGGUGCCCAGAAAAACAGUAUUUCCCUCUCUUGUUUGACAGAGAUUCCAGUUUUAGUACCUCUCUAAUCAAAGCAACAAACUGACAGAAUCUCAGUUUGGCUGAUUUUAGGUUACUGAAAACUUCGGGUUAAGAUCUACAAUGCCCUUUAGAUUAUUUAAAUAUGUAAUUAAUAAUUUCAGAAAAAGCAGCUUAACCUAAAUUCCGCUUAAUGCUAAGAGCAUUUAGGUACCUGUGUUCUUUUCCUUUUGAAUAAUGGAGCUUAUGUUCCUGAAAGACGUUGUUUCUGAAAAAUAUCACCCUCAAUGCAUCUGUGCCAUGUCAGAUGAUUCAACUCACAAAGCAUAUCUUGGUUUUGAGGGUAGUAUGAAAGUCAGUGUUGUUUGGAAAUGUUUAAUUGAAUGGUGACAACCUAUAACUCCUCAUUUACUUUAUAAUGUGAUAGAAAAUAAAUUACGAAGAUGGGAGUUGAAAGGACCUUCUGGGUCACUGAGUUCAUCCCCAGUUCUGCAGAUGAAUAUACACGUCUGACAAGUCUACAGCUUUCAGUAAUCUAAAAAUAUAAAUGCAAACCCACAGUAAACAGAAUCUAAUAUAUGCACAGAGGUCUCUGUAACACUACUGUGUUCUGUCGUAAAUUUAACCUUGGUAUUCUGGUUGUGGCUAGCAAACAGACACUCUCUAAGAGAUCAAGAGACUGCUGGCUGCCACGCAUGUUAGCUUUUAGCUAAAGAGGUCAGUAACACCUCCUCGUUCUCGUCACCCUCUCCUGUAAGUGUGGAUAGUCACACAUUAAGUGUAGCUUUUCUGGUUGGGAUAUUAGGAGUCCCCGAAUGAUCUAGGGUACUACCCUCAUUUUACACCAGAGAGACAGAAGAAAGCAAGUGGAUCCACUGUCCUUGUAGCUCAUUGUUAUUCGUCAAGUAAGAGCAACAGCAUUAUUGUUUUCCCCAGCCCAGCAUUUAAAAGAUGAAGAAUGGCUCUGUUGCCCUCCUUGGGGACUCCAAGAAGAACAUUUUUAGUUGUGAAGAUCUGGCUCUGGAAAGAGGUGACACACUCUGAUCGUUCGUUAUCUGCGAUAUAAACCUACUUCUGCUUUCAGAGAGUCGAGAUAACAACUUUGAUGUAUACUACCUUAAGAAGAUCUGAAUCAAUUUAUAUGAAAAAACUGUUAAGCCAGUGUAUAAAGAAUACCACUGAAAUUAGAAAGUCCAGGAUUUUAAAUGCCUCAGUGUUAAGGAGAAUUAACAUUGAUUCAGAAUAUAAGCCCUAGUAAAUAUUUAACUCCUUUAUGAAGUGGGGAUAAAAUACAGACUAUUCCACUCUGCUAUAAAAAUCUUAUGCCAGAGCAUAAAAGCUGCUACAGGACUUGUGUCCUGAAUGGAGGACUGCUUUACUUCCAUCUGCAGUUCCUUAUUUUUGUCUCUCUGUUGUUCUGUGUUGUUUUCCCUCUGGAUUCCUGGCUGCUCUGGUAACUGGUGUUGGUGAAUAUGGAAUAAACUUGCUUUUGCCUAAGGUAUCAUUAAAAAAACCCAAACCCUACCUCAGCAGGGUUUCAGCUUAAAAAUAUUUCCCCUUGAAAGCUACCUUUGAUGAAUCAUUUUUUCCCACUUUUUUGCAAAUUUAAAGUGCAAGCAACAGAAUCGGUUUCAGUGCUGCCAUAAAUUUUAAUUUUUUUUAUUGCAAUUGCUAGUUUAAUUUCAUUGUGAGUGAGAAAUAAAGCAGUACUUCUUUCUCUGCUAUUGAAAAGGCUCGGUUUCAAAUUCACGAAAAUGACAUUGCAUAAAUACUCAAAAGACAUGUUACAGAAAUCUUCAAAUGAAGAGUAGUCUCUUCAAAGGAAAAAAAAAAGCUCUGAUCAAAAUUCUGAGAGUUAUAAAUAAGGACUCUGUAUACAAAGGAACUUUGUAUAUUCAGUAGAGUGUCAUAUGAUGGCAAAAGCACAUGAGGGUCACCCUGAGGAUUACAUCAUCCGGAAGAGAACACAACAUGCAUCUCUUACAUGAAAAGCAUGUCAGACAAACCCCAUGUAUUUGCAAAGCCUUAGCUUCUUGGUCUCCAAUGUCUCAUUAAAUCUAUAAGAGGUUAUUUUUACCCUCUUUAGAUUUAUCUUUCCUGGACAUGCAAUGGUAAUCCUUAUUUAACUGCAAAGCCUACCAUGAGGGAGAAUUAAUUUGUGUUGAGAGAGCUCUUCUUGUAAAAGAAUUUUAAUGUGAUAUGACAGGCAACUUCUUUCUUUUUGGGGGAGAAAGAAUGAGUUAUUUGUGUGAGCUUUACUAACUGCUUACACUGCAUUUAUUGACCCUUUUCUCUUACCCUUGUAUACAUGUGCAUUAGACAUCAAAGGUUUGAAAACAAUAAAAAAUAUCCCACGAUAAAGACCA